GCACUUUGAAGAGAGAGUUAAAGAGGACGUGAAACCGAUGAGAUGGAAACGGACAGAGCUAGCGUAUCUGGCCUGCAUUCAGCUUGUGCGGUCGCUACCGAUGAAUCGCUGAUCUCCAGAUUGGGACUGUUGACUAGUCGGUCGGUGGCUGUAUAGUGCAUUUGCAGGUGGAGUGCGUCGAGGCAUCCGGGAUGGCGGCAUGAACUCAGCUUUGAGGCCAGCUUGCUGGUACCCGGGCUGGGGGACUUUGUGCUGUUCGUUCUGGGUGUUCACACACAAUUGAAGGGGGCUUUGGUAGGGUGCCGAGCUGGGUGUCGGUGGCGGUCGCUUGCGACACGUACUGUGCACACAGUUCGGUCCUUGCCGAGCUCACUCCAUCUAUCUCGGCGUAAAAGCUGGUCAUC
rnacentral:rRNA from 1 species